rnacentral:lncRNA from 1 species
CUGACUUUUCCCAACUCCAAAUUAUUUCAUUGUCUGUCUCUCUCUAAACUGUAAGGUCCUGGUAAGAAGGGAUCAUUGUUUACCAACUCUAUUGUAUUAUACUUUCCCAACUGCUUAAUAUAGUGCUCUGCACACAGAAAGUACUAAAUAAAUACCAUUUAUUGAUUGUUUUUGCAGGCUGCCAGUCUCCCCACCUCCCUGCUGCUGGACAUGGAUGUUCUCAAACAAGGCUCCCGCUGUUCUCAUUGCAUGCAGUCAUCCCACACAACUCAUGAAGCUGCCCACAACUCAACUCAGGGAGCAAGUGCUCCAUACCUAUGGUCCCUCCACCACAAUAUUGACUGCGCUGCACCCCAGGAUCCUGAGAUGACCAACUGGAGGGAAGAGGCAGGGAUGAACAACUAUUUGUGUCCAGGAUGAUACCACAGGUAAGCUGAAGAAGGAG